UACGUAGGGGGCAAGCGUUGUCCGGAAUCAUUGGGCGUAAAGCGCGUGUAGGCGGUUCGGUAAGUCUUCUGUGAAAGUCCAGGGCUCAACCCUGGGAUGCCGGUGGAUACUGUCGGACUAGAGUACGGAAGAGGCGAGUGGAAUUCCCGGUGUAGCGGUGAAAUGCGCAGAUAUCGGGAGGAACACCAAUUGCGAAGGCAGCUCGCUGGGACGUUACUGACGCUGAGACGCGAAAGCGUGGGGAGCAAACAGG
rnacentral:rRNA from 1 species